rnacentral:misc_RNA from 1 species
UGUCACCUGAAUUUCUGACCUUAGC